GAUGAACGCUAGCUACAGGCUUAACACAUGCAAGUCGAGGGGCAGCAUGGUCUUAGCUUGCUAAGGCCGAUGGCGACCGGCGCACGGGUGAGUAACACGUAUCCAACCUGCCGUCUACUCUUGGACAGCCUUCUGAAAGGAAGAUUAAUACAAGAUGGCAUCAUGAGUUCACAUGUUCACAUGAUUAAAGGUAUUCCGGUAGACGAUGGGGAUGCGUUCCAUUAGAUAGUAGGCGGGGUAACGGCCCACCUAGUCUUCGAUGGAUAGGGGUUCUGAGAGGAAGGUCCCCCACAUUGGAACUGAGACACGGUCCAAACUCCUACGGGAGGCAGCAGUGAGGAAUAGUGGUCAAUGGGCGAGAGCCUGAACCAGCCAAGUAGCGUGAAGGAUGACUGCCCUAUGGGUUGUAAACUUCUUUUAUAAAGGAAUAAAGUCGGGUAUGUAUACCCGUUUGCAUGUACUUUAUGAAUAAGGAUCGGCUAACUCCGUG
rnacentral:rRNA from 1 species